rnacentral:rRNA from 1 species
CAGAGGUGGCAAGCGUUGUUCGGAAUUACUGGGCGUAAAGGGCGCGUAGGCGGCCCACUAAGUCAGACGUGAAAUCCCCCGGCUUAACCUGGGAACUGCGUCUGAUACUGGAGGGCUUGAGUAUGGGAGAGGGAUGUAGAAUUCCAGGUGUAGCGGUGAAAUGCGUAGAUAUCUGGAGGAAUACCGGUGGCGAAGGCGGCAUCCUGGACCAUUACUGACGCUGAGGCGCGAAAGCUAGGGGAGCAAACGGGAUUAGAUACCCCGGUAGUCCUAGCCCUAAACGAUGAAUGCUUGGUGUGGCGGGUAUCGAUCCCUGCCGUGCCGAAGCUAACGCAUUAAGCAUUCCGCCUGGGGAGUACGGUCGCAAGGCUG